GAGUUUGAUCGUGGCUCAGAACGAACGCUGGCGGCAUGCCUAACACAUGCAAGUCGAACGUGAUCCGGGGCUUGCUCCGGUGAAAGUGGCGGACGGGUGAGUAACGCGUGGGAACCUGCCCAGUGGUCGGGGAUAACUGCGGGAAACUGCAGCUAAAUACCCGGUAAGCCCUAUGGGGGAAAGAUUUAUCGCCAUUGGAGGGGCCCGCGUCGGAUUAGGUAGUUGGUGGGGUAAAGGCCUACCAAGCCUACGAUCCGUAGCUGGUCUGAGAGGAUGAUCAGCCACACUGGGACUGAGAUACGGCCCAGACUCCUACGGGAGGCAGCAGUGGGGAAUAUUGGACAAUGGGCGCAAGCCUGAUCCAGCAAUGCCGCGUGAGUGAAGAAGGCCUUAGGGUUGUAAAGCUCUUUCGGCGGGGACGAUGAUGACGGUACCCGCAGAAGAAGCCCCGGCUAACUCCGUGCCAGCCGCCGCAGUAAG
rnacentral:rRNA from 1 species